UUGCCAUUGCUGGCGGCGGUACGGGGCUUUGCUGACGCAGCACAAUCGCCAGAAUGGUUUACGACAGCCCCGGCGCUAGCAGUACCACGCGCACUCAAACACGCGGGGCUGACGUCAGCAUCUGACGUGGACUAUUGGGAAGUCAACGAGGCGUUCAGCGUCGUUGACCUGGUCAACAGGCAGUUGCUGGGGCUACCGGCUACACGGCCUUUUCAGGGUCAACGUCUUCGGCGGGAGUGUGGCUCUAGGGCAUCCUAUCGGUGCAAGCGGUGCGCGCAUCCUAGUGACUUUGCUCAACGUGCUGCGCUCCAGGGGGGGUAGGAGGGGCUGCGCCGCCAUUUGCAACGGCGGCGGCGGCGCAUCUAGCAUCGUCGUGGAGGCGAUGCCGCCGCCACUCGACAAGCAGAAGCAGCAGCAGCAGCAACUGCCGACGGCGGCGGCGGCGAUGACGCGGCAACAAUCGCAAUUGUAGCUGUAGCUCAGUAUCACCGUCGUUACAGCCAACAAUACGUCGUAAUACCCAACAUAUCGCGCCAACACAGGAGAGGCGACAGCAGAAACGCGCCCGUCGCUGUAGUGUACAUCUCAUCAUAACUACCAUCAAAAAUCACGAUGGCCUGCUGCCAACACCAAGUGGAAGUACGAGCAUCCAUACACAGUAACUUUAACGCAUAGUCCGUACACUGCGGUACGGCGACCAUCGCACGACAAUCACGCACACCAAAAUGAUUAGAAGAGCCCCCCCGGCGGUCAAAACCCGCAUGAAAAUGACCCGACUGAAUGCCGGCACGAAACGAGCACACAUAGCCAUAGGAUACAUUUCUUAUGUCUGUUAGCACGUCAUAUGGCGUGACAGCGGCUUGGCAACUUAAGCGUGUGUGUGUGUGUGUGUGCGCGUGUGGGUUACACCACCUCCUGGAGUUGACUCGUUUCCCCCUACUGCUCCAAGGUUAUCAUCACGGGGGCCCCAUACAUACAUACAUACAUACAUACAUACAUACAUGGAACCUAGAUGAGGGGAUGGAGCCCAUGCGCCGAAGGCUGUCCGAAAUAGCAACAGANNNNNNNNNNNNNNNNNNNNNNNNNNNNNNNNNNNNNNNNNNNNNNNNNNCAGGUGGGUUAGUUGGGUGAGGAAGGGGAGCAGGUUUGUUGUGGCAUAGUGACAGAGCGAGGGCCCAUGUGUGCGGUGGUAGCGGUGGUAGUAGGGGGGGGCCGCUGGUGAUGUAGCUCUUUUUGAUGAUAUUUUGUUAUUGUGUCGUGCUGAUGUUUCCUGUUGUUGAUGUUCACUGAUGUUCAGGCGACGGCUCCGUUGUGGACGGUCUUGUCAAGGACGGUCUGUGGGACCCGUACGGCAACAUCCACAUGGGCAGCUGUGCGGAGAUGUGCGCGGACAGGUUCGCAGUGGGCCGCCAGCAGCAGGUAGGUCGCGGCGGUUGGGGGCCCCGCUGCGGGUGGUUGGGGGUUGGUAGUUGGGGGGUUGGGGGUUGGAACUGACGGGGGGGAAACGCGGCACGGCGUUGUGUUCCGUACGGAAGGUAAACACACACAUACACACUAAAAAGAACCGCCGCAGCCCAUUAACCGUCGUUAACCGCCAAUAACCGCCGCAGGACGAGCAUGCGCUGCAAAGCCACCGGCGGGCAGUGGCGGCGGCGGCGGCGGGGCACACAGCUGCGGAGAUCGUACCCGUGCCGCGGCCUGGCGGAGGCGGCGGACGUGCGAAUGUGUCGCCAAGCGUGGCUGGCGCCGGGGCUGCAGCCGGCAGUAGCGGUAGCAGUAGCGGCGCGGAGGGACCAGCGUCACGCAGCGCGACGAUCGGUAUUCCUGGCGGCGUCGGCGCGAGCGGCAGCAGUGGUAGCGGCGGCGGUGGAACUCCGCCGUCGUUGUACGGCACGGUGGCCGCCGCCGCAGCUGCGGCGGCGGCUGCAGCAGCGGGUCCCGCCGCCGCCACAGCAGGGUCGUACAUCUGGGAGGAUGAAAGUCUUUCGAAGAUGGACCCUGUACGGCUGACGGCGCUCAAGCCGUACUUUCGUCGUGACGGCGGAACGGUCACAGCGGGCAACGCGUCGCCUAUGACCGACGGGGCGGCGGCAUUGGUGGUAGCGAGUUAUGAAGCCGUACAGGUACGAACUUUCUGUCGUACUGUCCUGCAGGGUUCACUUUUCCUCUCGCACCUUUUUGCCAAGCAAUGUGUGCGCACGGCAUUGUGUUUAUAACUCAUACGUUUCCCUUUCCCCCGCGGUGGAAAUGGGUCGCAUCGAUGCAUCGAUUCGCCGUACAGCGUCUGGGCUUGCCAUUGCUGGCGGCGGUACGGGGCUUUGCUGACGCAGCGCAAUCGCCAGAAUGGUUUACGACAGCACCGGCGCUAGCAGUACCACGCGCACUCAAACACGCGGGGCUGACGUCAGCAUCUGACGUGGACUAUUGGGAAGUCAACGAGGCGUUCAGCGUCGUUGACCUGGUCAACAGGCAGUUGCUGGGGCUACCGGCCGAGCGGUGCGUGUGUCCCUUGGAUGGUUCUGAGUUUUACAUUACGGUUUUAGGGCGGUUUUAACUUUGGUUUUGGGGUUUUAGGUACAUUUUAAAGUUACACUGCAAUCGGCAAGGCCAACAUCCCGAAAUAAAGCCCAGUAUUAAAACCUGAUUUAAUUAAUAUUUUGAAUAAAGUAAAACCCAUAGCGCCUUUUAAACCCAAAUUUUCUUCCACUCGGCCUUUCAGAGUCAACGUCUUCGGCGGGAGUGUGGCUCUAGGGCAUCCUAUCGGCGCGAGCGGUGCGCGCAUCCUAGUGACUUUGCUCAACGUGCUGCGCUCCAAGGGGGGUAGGAGGGGCUGCGCCGCCAUUUGCAACGGCGGCGGCGGCGCAUCUAGCAUCGUCGUGGAGGCGAUGCCGCCGCCACUCGACAAACAGCAGCAGCAGCAGCAACUGCCGACGGCGGCGGCGGCGAUGACGCGGCAACAAUCGCAAUUGUAGCUGUAGCUCAGUAUCACCGUCGUAUUAGUAUUAGGAGAAACACAUUAAUCACGAUUAGUAUUGUGAGGUUUUACGAUGCGAGACGAGUUUAAAAUGUUGGCAUGCGAAGUCGAAGGGUUACUGGGUAGUCGAUGUAGUCGAAUGUUGUAGUAGAGUAGCAAUAAUGGCACUUGCAGCUGAGAUAGAGUAGCCGGUCUUCAACUUAAAUGAGCUUAAGGCAGUUGGGAAUUAUUGGGAAUUACUGGGAAUGCAAGGUGGUGAAGACAAGGAGCGAACCGUUGCAGGUGGUGGGCAGGACGUAAGAGAAACGGAAGCAGGAACAGGAACAGGAACACCUGUGCACUGAAUUGUACAUUAUUUAAUGGUUUAUAGGUUUAUAGGUUUUAAGGUUUUACUGUUAUGGCGACCCAGACCCAGUGCGAAGAACAGUGAAACACAGACGGGACAUGUGGGGCUGUAGCAGCUCGGAGCAACAACUGGUGCCUCGCAGGGAGUAGCAGUAGCAGCUUGACGCAAUUGCAUCUUGUGGCGUAUGUGUGUAUGUAUGUAUGUACGUAUGUGUGCAUCUGCAUGUAUAUCUGUGUGCAUAUGUGCACACUCCCAGGAUUUGAUGAGGAUUUUGAGGAAAAGAGUGCAACGGCGGCAGGGGAAGUGGGGGGUUUGCAUAUGGACUCCGACAGCCAGAUGGCUCCGACAGCCAGUUCCGCUCAUUUCAUUUCUUACGUUGUUGCUGAUGAUGUCUGUAUCGGUUACCCUCCACGAUCUUAAGAUGAUACAUUACGAGAUGCCAAAUUCGUCAAACCUGAGCUGACGUUUGUUAGGGUUAUAUCUAGCUUGGCCGACGCUUGGCUGAUGGGCACACAUGCGUAGCCGGGUCUGUCCUCCAGUUUACAAAAAAAUGUUUUAGCAUCUCCGGCAGAAAUGCUAAGCAUCCGAGCACACCGCACGAAAUUGGUUGUUGCAGCAAAGCCCGCGGAAAGGUGUUUCCUCCGGUGUGUGAUAGUAUUGGUACAAGUCCCUUUUUCCUCAGCUUGAUGUUCACAUGCACCGAUGCACUCGACACACAGUGAUUGCAGCCCUGCACACCAGCAGCAGCAACGACAACAACAAUAACAUCAACAUCAACAACAGAGACCUAGACUGGAUAAAGAUAAAUGCAACUCUAGCAGGCAAACGCGCACGUCUUUGCACACGUACGGGCAAGAAGCCCAUAAACACGGUGGUACGGCAAGUACGGCAAAUUCUAUGCUUUUCACCAGCUCGCAACGGGGAUGCCACCGGCCCUCCAGCGCGAGGAGUCGAGGACCCGAAGCGACCUCGUCCCGACAUCCGAAUUAUGAUGUUAUACGACCGUACGUCACAACUUCAAGAUACGGAUGAAUGUACGGCAGCUAGCAAUCAUUCAGCUAAUAAUAAAAACCAUUCAACCCCAACCGAACGCCCGCCGGCGGGCAGCGGUGUCAAAACUACAGAAACGUACCUAAACAAUGCGGUGAACAUGGCAAGAACGCUUCCUGGUCACUGCGAAAAUGCAGCAGCAGCCUUAUGCCGUACAGGGCCGUACAAUCUCAUCAGCAGCCGACCACAUCAGCUUCCGAAGUCGUACCCAAAAAGUACCUCUCGUAAUGCCGAAGCGAUAACGAAAGGCUCGUGCAGACCUUGGAUGCCCACGAUCUGCCGUACACUCCCCUGGCCCCGCCAUGCUCCACCACAUCCUUUCACAAAUGACACCACACUUCGCGCAUCUGCAUCAGCGCAAAUAGGGGGGUCCUUGUGAAGCAGCUGCCCGCGUUUCCAAAGCACGUAUGGUGUUGGAUUGUAAGGUGCCCAAGUACGUUUGCGAGGAAGAGAAUGUGGCCAGGCUGGAGAGGAAAGUGCAGUGGCAUAUUGGAAUGUGAGAUUAGCGUAAGCGAGUUACAGGGCGUUUUAUUGCACGGGCGAAUUUUCGUGCAAAUCUUNNNNNNNNNNNNNNNNNNNNNNNNNNNNNNNNNNNNNNNNNNNNNNNNNNNNNNNNNNNNNNNNNNNNNNNNNNNNNNNNNNNNNNNNNNNNNNNNNNNNNNNNNNNNNNNNNNNNNNNNNNNNNNNNNNNNNNNNNNNNNNNNNNNNNNNNNNNNNNNNNNNNNNNNNNNNNNNNNNNNNNNNNNNNNNNNNNNNNNNNNNNNNNNNNNNNNNNNNNNNNNNNNNNNNNNNNNNNNNNNNNNNNNNNNNNNNNNNNNNNNNNNNNNNNNNNNNNNNNNNNNNNNAGUUAUGUUGUUAUACUUUGCGCAACUUUGUAAUUUGACUUUACUCUGAACAAGGUGCUGCAUACAACUGCCUCUUCGCCAGCGCUUCAUCUUCCGCGGCAGUUUCACGAGCCCAGAGUUGCAAGCUACGACGUUGGCUUUCGGUGCUUUUAGGUACUGCAAAGCAUCCACGCAAUAGUCCAGCCUGCAUGCCGCGUGCGGCUAUGGCCAACAUGCCCACCUGCGCAACGCGCUGGCGCACCUGGUCCUUUUCCGCCAAGAAAAUUUAUAUACACUUGUACAGGCGCAUUUUGCGAAUCGCACGCGCGCAUCUGCGCGGCAAAAUUCGCUCCUGACUCUUUUGGGACGAUGUACGAACUGUUUAUUCGCGAAGUACGACCGGACACAUUUGUGCGAGGGGCUGCUUAACAAUCUCCACCUGAGCAACCUCAAAACGCUGGGGCUGCAAAAGAUCAUUUUCAAAAAUAAAUGGAGGAGAUUUUGGAGGAAGACCCAACCGUUGGAACCCGAUGGGCUUUUUAAAAUCCAAAUCCGAUCCAAUUAUAGGAUUAACUACCUCCAGCCUUUCACUCUCGGGGUAGCCGUAUAUUAAGAAAUCGCUGGCUUUUACAUAACCACACGGCAUCUCAUCACGUUGUUUAUCAUCAAACAGCAGGAAAAGGAAGAGAAGCGAGGAAAGGCGGCAUCUUUUUUUCCGUACUGUCUUCAUUAACGAUCCAGUUUGAAAGUCAAGCAGCUCUGAAGCGGAAGGAAAUCAUCGCCAAGGGCGCGUUCGCACAGAGGCUUGAUGUGGUUUCAGCUCCAUCCGGAGGCCCUGUGGCGCAGUGUUGCUGCGCUCCAGAGAGACCGAACGAGAAGAGACCGAACGACAACGACAACGAGAAAGACAGGGAGACAGAGAGGGAGAGAGAGGGGGGGGGGAAAGGAAUCUCCAAAACCCUAAAACCCAAAUCAAAAAUCACGUGUGUGAUUCACAGAUAGCCCCGACUGUUAGUACCGAACGGACCCUCAUUCCCAGGGAGGAAACGCAAACGCAACAACAACACACACACACAUGCACCGCGCAUACCCCACGUGCCUAGUCCGGUACGACAAAACCGUGUACCUAGCCAGCCCCCGAAAACCCCCAACCGCAGAUUGCUCCUGGACUAGGAGCGUGUCACAGCAAACACAGAGCUCUUUCCCGUCCUCCCCAGAACCCACGACAAUUAAACCAACGGUCCCGGACAAUCCCGUACGGCUCCGUACAAUCCCCUCUGUUAUCCUGACGAGUUCAUCAGGCGCUCACAACAAGAGGAAGAGAGGAGGAGGCGGAAACGGGAAGGAAGAUGCGAUUGUGACUUAAUGACUUAACGACAUCAGCUGACUGAUUGACAUGCAGAAAUGCACAUCGCCGCCAGUACAUAACGGCCGCGGGUCCCCUUGGGGGGGAGGGGAGGGGAGGGGAGGGGAAAGCCCCGGGGGGAAGGGGGAAAACGUAAUAAAACACAAUAUAAGACACGGUAUCCAAAAGAUGUGCUCACUCUUCGUUCAUUUGGGCCGGUGUCCCCCCCCUUUCCCCGUUCUAAUAACUGCCAUCUAAAGAUCCGAUUGGUCGCCUAACGGGCGUUGGCUUUGAUGCUCGACACCACGGUCGCCAUUACCCACGCACGAACCAUGCCGACUGCGACGUGUUUUCUACCCCCCCCCGUCCCGACACGGACCCACGGCGGUCGGCCGGGUGACAGCCGCACGCGCGCACGUCGCCACAUCAUCCACAUGGCCGUGUACGACGUACACGCUGCAGAUGCUCUUUCCAUUCCUUUAGCAUCACCACCACCACCAUCAUCAUCAUGACCACCAGCACCACCACCAAUACCAUCAUCAUCAUCAUCAACAACAUCGUCUCCGUCAUCCAUCGCUAUUACUAUCAUCCGCAAUGCAUUUAUCGUAUUUCACCGUCAUCACUGUCGUACACAUCACCGAAUGCAAACCGAAGCCGAAAGCAAAUAAUGCUUCGCAAUUGUAUACCCGUGCCGCGGCCUGGCGGAGGCGGCGGACGUGCGAAUGUGUCGCCAAACGUGGCUGGCGCCGGGGCUGCAGCCGGCAGUAGCGGUAGCAGUAGCGGCGCGGAGGGACCAGCGUCACGCAGCGCGACGAUCGGUAUUCCUGGCGGCGUCGGCGCGAGCGGCAGCAGUGGUAGCGGCGGCGGUGGAACUCCGCCGUCGUUGUACGGCACGGUGGCCGCCGCCGCAGCUGCGGCGGCGGCUUCAGCAGCGGGUCCCGCCGCCACAGCAGGGUCGUACAUCUGGGAGGAUGAAAGUCUUUCGAAGAUGGACCCUGUACGGCUGACGGCGCUCAAGCCGUACUUUCGUCGUGACGGCGGAACGGUCACAGCAGGCAACGCGUCGCCUAUGACCGACGGGGCGGCGGCAUCGGUGAUAGCGAGUUAUGAAGCCGUACAGGUACGAACUUUCUGUCGUACUGUCCUGCAGGGCUCACUUUUCCUCUCGCACCUUUUUGCCAAGCAAUGUGUGCGCACGGCAUUGUGUUUAUAACUCACACGUUUUCCUUUCCCCCGCGGUGAAAAUGGGUCGCGUCGAUGCAUCGAUUCGCCGUACAGCGUCUGGGCUUGCCAUUGCUGGCGGCGGUACGGGGCUUUGCUGACGCAGCGCAAGCGCCAGAGUGAUUUACGACAGCACCGGCGCUAGCAGUACCACGCGCGCUCAGACACGCGGGGCUGACGUCAGCAUCUGACGUGGACUAUUGGGAAGUCAACGAGGCGUUCAGCGUCGUUGACCUGGUCAACCGGCAGUUGCUGGGGCUACCGGCCGAGCGGUGCGUGUGUCCCUUGGAUGGUUCUGAAUUUACGUUACGGUUUUAGGGCGGUUUUAACUUAAGGUUUUGGGGUUUUAGGUACAUUUUAAAGUUACACUGCAAUCGGCAAGGCCAACAUCCCGAAAUAACCAGUAUUAAAACCUGAUUUAAUUAAUAUUUUGAAUAAAGUAAAACCCAUAGCGCCUUCUAAACCCAAAUUUCUCUUCCACACGGCCUUUCAGAGUCAACGUCUUCGGCGGGAGUGUGGCUCUAGGGCAUCCUAUCGGCGCGAGCGGUGCGCGCAUCCUAGUGACUUUGCUCAACGUGCUGCACUCCAGGGGGGGUAGGAGGGGCUGCGCCGCCAUUUGCAACGGCGGCGGCGGCGCAUCUAGCAUCGUCGUGGAGGCGAUGCCGCCGCCACUCGACAAACAGCAGCAGCAGCAGCAGCAGCAGCAGCAGCAACUGCCGACGGCGGCGGCGGCGAUGACGCGGCAACAGUCGCAAUUGUAGCUGUAGCUCCGUAUCACCGUCGUAAUAGCCAACAAUACGUCGUAAUACCCAACAUAUCACGCCAACACAGGAGAGGCGACAGCAGAAACGCGCCCGUCGCUGUAGUAUACAUCUCAUCAUAACUACCAUCAAAAAUCACGAUGGCCUGCUGCCAACACCAAGUGGAAGUACGAGCAUCCAUACACAGUAACUUUAACGCAUAGUCCGUACACUGCGGUACGGCGACCAUCGCACGACAAUCACGCACACCAAAAUGAUUAGAAGAGCCCCCCGGGCGGUCAAAACCCGCAUGAAAAUGACCCGACUGAAUGCCGGCACGAAACGAGCACACAUAGCCAUAGGAUACAUUUCUUAUGUCUGUUAGCGACAGCGGCUUGGCAACUUAAGCGUGUGUGCGUGUGUGUGUGUGUGUGUGUGCGCGCGUGUGGGUUACACCACCUCCUGGAGUUGACUCGUUUUCC
rnacentral:lncRNA from 1 species